rnacentral:piRNA from 1 species
UCAACAUCAAGUAUUUUGAGA